GCUUCCUGCUUCCUGCUUCCUGCUUCAGACUGCAGAUAAAGCCACAAUGUAAGGUUCCAGGUGGCCACACUUAUUUGGAGACACCAUUUAACACGGUUCUGCUUCUACUUCCAUGAGAACCUAGUGAAGAAGACACAGCCAGAGCUUUGAUCAAAGAUUCCAAAUGCAAAUACAACUAACCACCCAACUGGUCCCAUCAGCCAAUGUAUCUCUUUGUUACCUCAAGGGAGAUUGAUUUACGCUUUCAUCAAUAAAUCUUCAUAUUUUCAA
ensembl:lincRNA 1700023F02Rik RIKEN cDNA 1700023F02 gene